UAUGUUUUCAUACCCUACAACCCCGACUUUCAUUGGGUCUUGGUAGUGAUUGAGCCAAGGAAAAUGAUAGUCCACUAUCUUGACCCUAUGCAUCACAAACCAUGUGAGGACUUAAAGGAUAUCGUAAACAUUGUCCAAGACAAGAAAGAGGGUUCGAAUGUGACUACUUUGUUAUGAGAUUCAUAAAAAAGAU